rnacentral:rRNA from 1 species
UACGUAGGGGGCGAGCGUUGUCCGGAAUUACUGGGUGUAAAGGGAGCGUAGACGGUAAUGUAAGUCUGGAGUGAAAGGCGGGGGCCCAACCCCCGGACUGCUCUGGAAACUAUGUUACUAGAGUGCAGGAGAGGUAAGCGGAAUUCCUAGUGUAGCGGUGAAAUGCGUAGAUAUUAGGAGGAACACCAGUGGCGAAGGCGGCUUACUGGACUGUAACUGACGUUGAGGCUCGAAAGCGUGGGGAGCAAACAGG